GAUGAAGAACGUAGCGAAAUGCGAUACGUAAUGUGAAUUGCAGAAUUCAGUGAAUCAUCGAAUCUUUGAACGCAUAUUGCGCUCUCUGGUAUUCCGGAGAGCAUGCUUGUUUGAGUAUCAGUAAACACCUCAACUUCCAUAUCUUUUUUGAAAUGGGAGUUGGACUUGAGUGAUCCCAACGCUUUUCCUCACCGAAAAGUGGCGGGUUACUUGAAAUGCAGGUGCAGCUGGACUUUUCUCUGAGCUAUAAGCAUAUCUAUUUAGUCUGCCUAAAAAACAGAUUAUUACCUUUGCUGCAGCUAACAUAAAGGAGAUUAGUUCUUGUGCUGACUGAUGCAGGAUUCACAAAGACGGCUUCGGCCGACUUUGUAAACUCGAUCUCAAAUCAAGUAAGACUACCCGCUGAACUUAAGCAUAGCAAUAAGCGGAGGA
rnacentral:misc_RNA from 1 species